rnacentral:lncRNA from 1 species
CUGCAUGCAUUGAAGAAUUCAACAUACACUAAAUAUUCCUCCAGAAACAGUAUAGAAUAUCGCAUUUCAAAGUUUGCUGCUUAUAAAAUUACUAAUAUGACUAGGAAAUGCUAAUGGCUUGGUUCCCCUUAACUUCCUAGAAAAAGGGUUUCAUUAGAUAAAUUCAACUAUGCAGCAAAAAAAAAAAAAAUCAAAAUAAACUUUUAGUGUUAGUAGUAUAAAACUGACAUAAUAUUCUUCUCAUAAUUUCAUUAUCUAUUAAACUAACUAAUUAUUUGUAGUAGUAUGCAUAAUAUCCAUAAGUUUUGUGAAAUGGAAUUCUUUUUGUGGGGAGAAAGGAGUUUGUAUUACAGACUAGUCAUCUGAUUAGGCAAGCAGAUUAGCUCAUGCUGUUGUCAGUUGCAAACGCUUCUUGGUCAACGAUUGCAUUUCUACAAGGAUAGUAGGACAUGCCAACCUUAAACCAUUAGACUUCGUGAUAAAAUACACUGCUGCACAGGACCAGACUAGAAAGGUUCUUCUAUAAACAAAAUCUAAGUUGAGAGCCACCACCUGAUCUUGAAUUGAUCAAACAUCUAUUUGAAUAAGCCCUUGAUCAAUAAAAGACCAGAAGUACACCAUGGCUGAUCAAUACUGCACACCAUCAUUUAGCUAUUGCAAUUCUCAAAUCAUUAGCAACACAAAUACCAAACUAAUAUGAAAGAGACGGGGAAUGUCUCCAAUCAAAAUCUCAUGAAUAAGAGACGGGGAACUAUCAUAUAUCUUUUCGGGGGAAUUUUUUUGGGGAAGGGGAGUUUUAGGCUAUACCCAAGCAAAUUAAUACAAAGGCCCCGCAAGCAACUUAGCCGUUCCCUCCAUCACAAGCUCCCCCAAUUAGCGGAUGGACAUGCUCAAUUCUAAAUAAAAUUCAACCCUCUUAAUGUUAUAUACAGAAUAUCACCCUAGAAAACCAAAAGGUCAUCUAGCCUUCCAAACAUAUCUGAAAACCAAAAUAUCUGAAAACCCUCUUAAUGUUAUAUACAGAAUAUCACCCUAGAAAACCAAAAGGUCAUCUAGCCUUCCAAACAUAUCUGAAAGAAUGAUAUAAAUAAAUAUUGCCGGACAGGUUGCAUAGUUUGUGAAACUAACACACCGCAGUCACCACCUAUUGAUUAGACAAAAACCACUCACAAGAUGUCCUGCCAGCUGCAUCUCCAACCUUGACAAAAGUAGACAUCAGAACUCAUAGGAGGUAAAAUCAGCCACUUUCUCGCAAGCAAUUCCCAGGCAAUAGAAACUUAUACUUGUCAGCAUUCUCCAAAAGAUAUGAUGGAAGAUGAACGGCAGAGUAGGAAUGCGGUAUGGGACCCAUUUUCCCUAUGAUUUCCUUGAAAGUAUACUCCUCCGGAAGCAUAUCAAAUAGAUCAGCUCCUCUGCAGAUUACCUUCUGAACUCUUUUAGGGUUCAAAAAUUUAGAGAACCUCACUCUAUCGAAAUGACUGUAUGCUUUCAUCUUAAAUAUGAACUCCCUGAUAUGACGGAAGCAAAAGCUGCAAUGCCAUCCAGCAUCUGCCAAGAUGUCAUUGGACUGGCGAUAAUGUGCAUACCUUGUCUUCCCAGACUGAUAUCUGUGAACUGAAGCUCUCCAACUAUUAUUGUCCAACAGAAACUCAAAAGAGUACAGGUAGUUCUUCAAACGAAGAUGAAGCACUGGAGGUAUGUCAUCACACCACCUCAACAAAUUGAUAGUAUGUCUACUUGGUAUCUCAUCCACAUCUGACAUUAUUAACAGGUCGUCGUCUUGAAUACCUGCUUGUUUGAUAAGAAAAUCCAAUGCUAACCGCUGAUAUGCCUCCUCGAUAAAUGGGUUUUCUCCUUUCUUAAAUCUGCCUGGAAUUUUCCCAUAGGUCAACCGCGACUCAACAAAUUUAAACUUGCCUCUGUUGCUGGCAAAAACCAGUGGCUUUGGCAAUCCAGUAAAUGUUGAAUUUGACUCUAGGAUAACAAAUUCUGUUACAUAAGGAUACAAUUCUUUCCACCGUAUUGUAAGGAGGUCCAGCUCAUUACUGAAUAACACUGCAUCAAAAACACGCCUUGGGAACUCACGGAUCCCCCAACCAUGAAGUUUGCAUAAAUUCUCCAUUGAUACAUUCUCAUGAUAAUAGUGAGGAAUUUCAUGGAACGGCUUGGGUGGAGCUUCCCAUAGUGGCCGUAAGAAGUAUGAUAUCUUCUGUCCGUGCAAAUACAGGCCAAAGACACAUGUUGGGACCAAAACCAAUAGGAAGAUAUAUGUUUUCAAAUCCAGCCCACGCAUAAUACAACGUAAUCUUGACAUGCUCAAAACACGGCCAGAGUCCUGCAUUUAAAGAAAUUUUUAUGUUUAAGACUUUGAAUGAAGAUGAUACGCAAAAACAAGUACCAAAUUAACAAAACAGAGUAUGCAGU